UCGCCUACGGGAGGCAGCAGUGAGGAAUAUUGGUCAAUGGGCGAGAGCCUGAACCAGCCAAGUCGCGUGAGGGAAGACGGUCCUAUGGAUUGUAAACCUCUUUUGCCGGGGAGCAAAAAGCGGUACGUGUACCGCAUCGAGAGUACCCGGAGAAAAAGCAUCGGCUAACUCCGUGCCAGCAGCCGCGGUAAUACGGAGGAUGCGAGCGUUAUCCGGAUUUACUGGGUGUAAAGGGAGAGUAGGUGGCAGAGCAAGUCCGAAGUGAAAACCCAAAGCUCAACUAUGGGAAUGCUUUAGAAACUGCU
rnacentral:rRNA from 1 species